rnacentral:rRNA from 1 species
AACGAACGCUGGCGGCGUGCCUAACACAUGCAAGUCGUGCGAGAAAGUUCCUUCGGGAGCGAGUAAAGCGGCGCACGGGUGAGUAACACGUAGGUAACCUGCCCCCCAGUCUGGAACAACUAGAGGAAACUCUAGCUAAUGCCGGAUGAGACCACGAUCCCUUCGGGGGUUGCGGCCAAAGAUGGCCUCUACUUGUAAGCUAUCGCUGAGGGAUGGGCCUGCGGGCCAUUAGCUUGUUGGUGAGGUAACGGCUCACCAAGGCUGUGAUGGCUAGCUGGUCUGAGAGGAUGACCAGCCACACUGGGACUGAGACACGGCCCAGACUCCUACGGGAGGCAGCAGUGGGGAAUAUUGCGCAAUGGGCGAAAGCCUGACGCAGCGACGCCGCGUGGGUGAUGAAGGCCUUCGGGUCGUAAGGCCUGUCGCAGGGGAAUAAGAAAGUGAAUGUACCAUGCAAGAAAGGAUCGGCUAACUUCGUGCCAGCAG